GUUUUAAUAGUUUAAACAAAAUAUUGGUCUUGUAAACCAGAGAUAAAAUUAUUUUUAAAGCU
rnacentral:tRNA from 1 species